UACAGAGGGUGCAAGCGUUGUUCGGAAUUAUUGGGCGUAAAGCGCGUGUAGGCGGCAGUGCAAGUCGGGUGUGAAAGCCCUCAGCUCAACUGAGGAAGUGCGCCCGAAACUGCAUUGCUUGAGUACCGGAGAGGAUGGUGGAAUUCCCGAAGUAGAGGUGAAAUUCGUAGAUAUCGGGAGGAACACCGGUGGCGAAGGCGGCCUGCUGGACAGCACCUGACACUGAGACGCGAAAGCGUGGGUAGCAAACAGG
rnacentral:rRNA from 1 species